rnacentral:rRNA from 1 species
AACGAACGCUGGCGGCAGGCUUAACACAUGCAAGUCGAACGCCCCGCAAGGGGAGUGGCAGACGGGUGAGUAACGCGUGGGAAUCUACCCAACCCUACGGAAUAACGCAUGGAAACGUGUGCUAAUACCGUAUACGCCCUAUGGGGGAAAGAUUUAUCGGGGAUGGAUGAGCCCGCGUUGGAUUAGCUAGUUGGUGGGGUAAAGGCCUACCAAGGCGACGAUCCAUAGCUGGUCUGAGAGGAUGAUCAGCCACAUUGGGACUGAGACACGGCCCAAACUCCUACGGGAGGCAGCAGUGGGGAAUAUUGGACAAUGGGCGCAAGCCUGAUCCAGCCAUGCCGCGUGAGUGAUGAAGGCCCUAGGGUUGUAAAGCUCUUUCACCGGAGAAGAUAAUGACGGUAUCCGGAGAAGAAGCCCCGGCUAACUUCGUGCCAGCCGCCGCAGUAACAC